GGGGGUGUGGCUCAGUGGUAGAGCAGUUGUCUAGCAUGCAUGAGGCUCUAGGUUCCAUCCCCAGCACCCCAA
rnacentral:tRNA from 1 species